rnacentral:rRNA from 1 species
CCUACGGGAGGCAGCAGUGGGGAAUAUUGGACAAUGGGGGGAACCCUGAUCCAGCCAUGCCGCGUGUGUGAAGAAGGCCCUCGGGUUGUAAAGCACUUUCAGUGAGGAAGAACGCCUGGUGGUUAAUACCCAUCAGGAAAGACAUCACUCACAGAAGAAGCACCGGCUAACUCCGUGCCAGCAGCCGCGGUAAUACGGAGGGUGCGAGCGUUAAUCGGAAUUACUGGGCGUAAAGCGCGCGUAGGUGGCUUGAUAAGCCGGUUGUGAAAGCCCCGGGCUCAACCUGGGAACGGCAUCCGGAACUGUCAAGCUAGAGUGCAGGAGAGGAAGGUAGAAUUCCCGGUGUAGCAGUGAAAUGCGUAGAGAUCGGGAGGAAUACCAGUGGCGAAGGCGGCCUUCUGGACUGACACUGACACUGAGGUGCGAAAGCGUGAGUAGCAAACAGGAUUAGAUACCCCUGUAGUC